rnacentral:rRNA from 1 species
CGGCGUGCCUAUACAUGCAAGUCGAGCGAACAGAUAAGGAGCUUGCUCCUUUGACGUUAGCGGCGGACGGGUGAGUAACACGUGGAUAACCUACCUAUAAGACUGGGAUAACUUCGGGAAACCGGAGCUAAUACCGGAUAACAUAUUGAACCGCAUGGUUCAAUAGUGAAAGGCGGCUUUGCUGUCACUUAUAGAUGGAUCCGCGCCGUAUUAGCUAGUUGGUAAGGUAACGGCUUACCAAGGCAACGAUACGUAGCCGACCUGAGAGGGUGAUCGGCCACACUGGAACUGAGACACGGUCCAGACUCCUACGGGAGGCAGCAGUAGGGAAUCUUCCGCAAUGGGCGAAAGCCUGACGGAGCAACGCCGCGUGAGUGAUGAAGGUCUUCGGAUCGUAAAACUCUGUUAUCAGGGAAGAACAAAUGUGUAAGUAACUGUGCACAUCUUGACGGUACCUGAUCAGAAAGCCACGGCUAACUACGUGCCAGCAGCCGCGGUAAUACGUAGGUGGCAAGCGUUAUCCGGAAUUAUUGGGCGUAAAGCGCGCGUAGGCGGUUUUUUAAGUCUGAUGUGAAAGCCCACGGCUCAACCGUGGAGGGUCAUUGGAAACUGGAAAACUUGAGUGCAGAAGAGGAAAGUGGAAUUCCAUGUGUAGCGGUGAAAUGCGCAGAGAUAUGGAGGAACACCAGUGGCGAAGGCGACUUUCUGGUCUGUAACUGACGCUGAUGUGCGAAAGCGUGGGGAUCAAACAGGAUUAGAUACCCUGGUAGUCCACGCCGUAAACGAUGAGUGCUAAGUGUUAGGGGGUUUCCGCCCCUUAGUGCUGCAGCUAACGCAUUAAGCACUCCGCCUGGGGAGUACGACCGCAAGGUUGAAACUCAAAGGAAUUGACGGGGACCCGCACAAGCGGUGGAGCAUGUGGUUUAAUUCGAAGCAACGCGAAGAACCCUUACCAAAUCUUGACAUCCUUUGACCGCUCUAGAGAUAGAGUUUUCCCCUUCGGGGGACAAAGUGACAGGUGGU